UACGGAGGGUGCGAGCGUUGUCCGGAAUCACUGGGCGUAAAGGGCGCGUAGGUGGCGCGAGAAGUCAACGGUGAAAGCUCGGGGCUCAACCCCGAGUCGGCCGUCGAUACUCUUGGGCUUGAGCACUGUAGAGGCAGGUGGAAUUCCGGGUGUAGCGGUGGGAUGCGUAGAGAUCCGGAGGAACACCAGUGGCGAAGGCGGUUGCCUGGGGCUUUGCUGACGCUGAGGCGCGAAAGCGUGGGGAGCGAGCCGG
rnacentral:rRNA from 1 species